rnacentral:rRNA from 1 species
AGGGUUUGAUCCUGGCUCAGGACGAACGCUGGCGGCACGCCUAACACAUGCAAGUCGAACGGAGAAUAUUGGAUUUAUUCAUUAUUCUUAGUGGCGGACGGGUGAGUAACACGUGAGCAACCUGCCUCUAAGAGAGGGAUAGCUUCUGGAAACGGAUGGUAAUACCUCAUAACAUAAUCAUACCGCAUGGUGAGAUUAUCAAAGAUUUAUCACUUAGAGAUGGGCUCGCGUCUGAUUAGCUGGAUGGUGAGGUAACGGCUCACCAUGGCGACGAUCAGUAGCCGGACUGAGAGGUUGAACGGCCACAUUGGGACUGAGACACGGCCCAG